rnacentral:snoRNA from 1 species
UUGUAUGAUGAUGAUCAAAUGUCUGACAGAAAAACCAUAUAGAUAAAAUUAACACUGGGGGG